GACGUAGGGGGCAAGCGUUGUCCGGAAUUACUGGGCGUAAAGCGCGCGCAGGCGGCUAUCCAAGUCAGUGGUGAAAGCCCGGAGCUCAACUCCGGAACUGCCAUUGAAACUGUUUAGCUUGAGGAUGAGAGAGGUGAGUGGAAUUCCCAGUGUAGAGGUGAAAUUCGUAGAUAUUGGGAAGAACACCGGUGGCGAAGGCGGCUCACUGGCUCAUUACUGACGCUCAGGCGCGAUAGCGUGGGGAUCAAACAGG
rnacentral:rRNA from 1 species